GACGAACGCUGGCGGCGUGCUUAACACAUGCAAGUCGAACGGAAAGGCCCUGCUUUUGUGGGGUGCUCGAGUGGCGAACGGGUGAGUAACACGUGAGUAACCUGCCCCUGACUUUGGGAUAACUUCAGGAAACUGGGGCUAAUACCCGAUAGGAGCUCCUGCUGCAUGGUGGGGGUUGGAGAGUUUCGGCGGUUGGGGAUGGACUCGAGGCUUAUCAGCUUGUUGGUGGGGUAGGGACUUACCAAGGCUGUGACGGAUAGCCGGCCUGAGAGGGGGACCGGCGACAUUGGGACUGAGAUACGGCCCAGACUCCUACGGGAGGCAGCAGGGGGGAAUAUUGCACAAUGGGCGGAAGUCUGAUGCAGCAACGCCGCGUGCGGGAUGACGGCCUUCGGGUUGUAAACCGCUUUCGCCGGUGACGAAGCGUGCGUGACGGUAAUGGGUAAAGAAGCACCGGCUAACUACGUG
rnacentral:rRNA from 1 species